rnacentral:rRNA from 1 species
AACGAACGCUGGCGGCGCGCCUAAUACAUGCAAGUCGAGCGAGAAGACGUAGCAAUACGUUUGUAAAGCGGCGAACGGGUGAGGAAUACAUGGGCAACCUACCCUCGAGUGGGGAAUAACUAGCCGAAAGGUUAGCCAAUACCGCGUACGCUCCUUGGACUUCGGUUCAGGGAGGAAAGCGAUACCGUGGGUAUCGCGCUCUUGGAUGGGCUCAUGUCCUAUCAGCUUGUUGGUGAGGAACGGCUCACCAAGGCUUCGACGGGUAGCUGGUCUGAGAGGACGAUCAGCCACACUGGCACUGCGACACGGGCCAGACUCCUACGGGAGGCAGCAGUAAGGAAUAUUGCGCAAUGGGCGAAAGCCUGACGCAGCGACGCCGCGUGGGGGAUGAAGGUCUUCGGAUUGUAAACCCCUUUCGGGAGGGAAGAUGGAACGAGCAAUCGUUCGGACGGUACCUCCAGAAGCAGCCACGGC